CGAACGCUGGCGGCAGGUCUUAACACAUGCAAGUCGAACGCCCCGCAAGGGGAGUGGCAGACGGGAGAGUAACACGUGGGAACGUACCCUUCAGUACGGAACAACCAAGGGAAACUUUGGCUAAUACCGUAUACGUCCGUAAGGAGAAAGAUUUAUCGCUGAAGGAUCGGCCCGCGUUCUGAUUAGCUAGUUGGUGAGGUAAUGGCUCACCAAGGCUACGAUCAGUAGCUGGUCUGAGAGGAUGAUCAGCCUCACUGGGACUGAGACACGGCCCAGACUCCUACGGGAGGCAGCAGUGGGGAAUAUUGGACAAUGGGCGAAAGCCUGAUCCAGCCAUGCCGCGUGUGUGAAGAAGGUCUUCGGAUUGUAAAGCACUUUAAGUUGGGAGGAAGGGCAUUAACCUAAUACGUUAGUGUUUUUGACGUUACCGACAGAAUAAGCACCGGCUAACUCUGUGCCAGCAGUCGCGGUAAUUUGAUGGCGCGAGGG
rnacentral:rRNA from 1 species